rnacentral:lncRNA from 1 species
AGUUAUUCUAGUUAGCUCACAGAUGAUCUCUCUUGAACAAUUAUGAACUCCAAAUACUAGAUGUAAGUCAUGGAUUCCCUUUUUCUUGUAUGCUGGAUGUUGUAGAAAAUAUUCUCAAUGAAUAAAACGAGUGAUCUGUUUUCAUUAUUUUUUGCCAAACGAGUGUAAAUUGGCAUGUUACAAAUCAAAGAGGUUUGUCGUACAGUCUAACUGGAAUGACAGUGUGAUUAGAGGUGGCAAAUCAACUCAUUGAGUUGCUAAUAGGUACCCAUCAAGACCCAGUUAAUUUGACGUCACCAUAAUAUAGAAGUGAGAUUGGUAGUGGUGAAGAGUGUAAGGUGAAAUCAAACUAAAUGAGUUUUAAUAGGUACCCAUUAACAAUUAAAUUGGUUGAUUUGUCACCUCUAACUGUGACAAUAUCUCAAGUUAAUUACUCAAUGUUAUAUAAAAACGUUCAUGAAAUUGUGAUUGGCUUGAGAUAGUGACACAGUGGAUGCACGUUUCAUAUAAACUGCCUACGAUUCCAAAUCUAAGCAUUAUUUUGCUUACCGUGUUGGUGUUGGAGACCACACUUUGCAUCAUUGCAUUGCAUGUGAAUGAGAUAGCGCAAAGCUCUCGGAGCGAGGGGACAAGAAAUAUAUAAAACAAGCUUGGAG